ensembl:lncRNA
CCUGAACAGCAGCAAAGGACCAACUAAUCAGCUGCAUCAUUGCCCUAGCCGGAGAAUACGUAAUCAUUGCGAGACUGUUUGGUAAUCAUGCUGAACAGUAGAGCUCUCUGCUGCUAGCUUAACGGAUAAAGGCAUCGCUAUAACAGCAGAGAUGAAAACAGCGGCUUUUCGUGUUUGAAACGGCUCGUAAGAUGCAGCUCGUUUCUGCCUGGAAAUAAAUGCAGUGCAAGACUGACGUAAUAAAUGCACACACGAGUGGUCACUGAAGACACAUUCACGAUGCCAGGUGUAAACGGAUAUGUGUUUUGCUGGAAUCGUAUGGAAGUAUUUUCCAAAUGAAAAUGCAAACCGAAAUAGCAACAGCAAUAACUGCUAUUAUUAUAUAAUUGCUAUUAUCAUAUAAUUUCUAUUAUUAAUAAUUGGUAGUUCUCUUCCUCAGAGUUGUGUAUGGAGACUGCCAAGAUUAAAACGGAAUCGCAAACCGACGUCGGCACAAUCGUCUUAUUCGGCACAUUUUCCCUCUUGGCUGUCGACCGCUAGGCGCUCUAAACUGAUGUCACUUCCAAAUACAAACACACCCUAUAGUAUACUCCCACCCCCAACACUGAUUGACAGGUUUCUUAUGCGUUGUAAAUGUAAAUACAAAGGGAACUGCAAUUCCAUUUGAGUUUUGGCAGGCUCCAUCCACAAUAUCAAGGAAGUGAAUAGAAAACGGGGGCCCAGUUGUUCGAAAAGUUUCAUCUGGUUCAGAAGGAUCCGGAUUUGAAAAUCCCACAUUUUGCUAUCCAGGAUCAUGUAAAUGGUCUUAUAACAUCAUUGGAGCCAGUCAACAUUGGAGUGUGUUAUUUGACAAGUUUUAAAGUUUUAUUACAUUUUGUUCCUG